AUUUUUUUCUUUAUUUGAACAGAGAUAUUUUGAUUGGCAUUGUCCCUAUCACGUAAAACUAUAAUUUAUUUUGUUUAACAUGUCAUUUGUUGGAUUUAACACAUUGUAAUUUAAUAGUGUAUUUCUUUCUCUUUAACUUUCCCCCUCCCCAAAUAUCUCAUCACUCAUCAUUCCUGAGCAAAUAAUGAUUUAAAUAAAGCAGAAACAGAUAUUGCUUCCAUUCAGUAAGUGUGAGGCUGCUAGGGGUUUGGAAGCACUGAGUACACAAUCUCUGUAUAUUUAUUUUCUAGAUUCAUUGAUUGGGAUAGAAUUGCUACAUUAGAAUAAUCAUGUUAAAUAAGCCAUAUUUUAGAAGAUUUGCUCCAAGGCCUCCGUAUCCUGGAAAUUUUGGAUAUUUUCCAAGGGUUCCAUAUCCUCAAUUUCCUGGAUAUCCUCCAUAUCCAUAUGCAUAUUAUCAGAAUCCUGAAAAUCCUCCAUAUUAUGCAUAUCCUACAAAUGCCGAAAAUGCACCCCAAGAAGAACCUCAAUAAACACAGCUUUGCCUGGAACACUGACUCGAGGUGUCUGUGAAUCUACAAAUUGGUCAAUCUGCCCAUCUGCCUAGUUAUCAGCCUCUAUUAUUGAGCAACAGAUAGUUGCUCCAACCUUGUUAGAGUAAUAUGAAUCAUUCUUCCAAAGGACUGAUGCUCUCAUUUACACUCCCCAUAUAAUAAAUUCAGUUCACAGCUUAUUGAAUUUCUGUUG
rnacentral:lncRNA from 1 species